rnacentral:rRNA from 1 species
UCAAAUUUGUAAUCUGGCACCUUCGGUGUCCGAGUUGUAAUCUCUAGAAGUGUUUUCCGCGUUGGACCGCACACAAGUCUGUUGGAAUACAGCGGCACAGUGGUGAUACCCCCGUAUACGGUGCGGACGCCCAGCGCUUUGUGAUACACUUUCGACGAGUCGAGUUGUUUGGGAAUGCAGCUCAAAUUGGGUGGUAAAUUCCAUCUAAAGCUAAAUAUUGGCGAGAGACCGAUAGCGAACAAGUACCGUGAGGGAAAGAUGAAAAGCACUUUGGAAAGAGAGUUAAAAGUACGUGAAAUUGUUGGAAGGGAAACGAUUGAAGUCAGACUUGCUUGCCGGGCUUGCUCGGUUUGCAGGCCAGCAUCAGUUUUCCGGGGCGGAUAAUGGCAGUUAGAAGGUAGCAGUCUCGGCUGUGUUAUAGCUUUCUGCUGGAUACGUCCUGGGGGACUGAGGAACGCAGCGUGCCGUAUGGCGAGGGCUUCGGCCCUUUCACGCUUAGGAUGCUGGUGGAAUGGCUUUAAACGACCCGUCUUGA